rnacentral:rRNA from 1 species
CCCUUAGAUGUCCUGGGCCGCACGCGCGUUACACUGAUGCAUUCAACGAGCUUAUAACCUUGGCCGAGAGGCCUGGGCAAUCUUGUUAACGUGCAUCGCGAUAGGAAUAGAUUAUUGAAAUUAUUAAUCUUGAACGAGGAAUUCCUAGUAAACGCAGAUCAUCAAUCUGCAUUGAUUACGUCCCUGCCCUUUGUACACACCGCCCGUCGCACCUACCGAUUGGAUGGUCCGGUGAAGCCUCGGGAUUGUGGUUCUUGCCGCUUUAUUGUGGCGUGACCGCGAGAACUUGUCUAAACCUUAUCAUCUAGAGGAAGGUGAAGGCGUAACA